CUCGGUUGCGCCUGACAAAACAUGAAAUUUAAUAUUUGUUGUCAUGUUAGGGGAAAAAACAUGGAAAAUUUGAACAUGAUAAAUGUUUUUUGGAGGGCACCCGAGCAACGCACAUGCCGUGGAAAACUUCCUGAGCCCCAGCCCCGGAUUUUUCCGCCACGUGGGUGUCGUUUUGCCUGCUGAGACAUGGCACGGGGAUUUGUCCGACAAAAUAACAACAAAAUAAUAAAACCAGCAGCAGCGAAAGGAGAAGAUGAACAGAGUACUUGCAACAUCAAAGCGGCAGAGCGACAAUGCCGACGCUGCCCAGAUAGAAAAACUCAACGAGCUGCGGGACUUGCCCCGCUCGACGCUCGACAUUCAAGUGCAUGGCACAAUUGCGGGCGCAGCGAAAUAAAAACAAAAAUAUAAAUAAAAGUGUGUAUAAAAUCCCGAGUGCAAUAAAGACUGAAAUACGAAAUACAAAA